rnacentral:tRNA from 1 species
GGAGGAGUAAUCAAGCCUGGCCAAAGAUGCAGGACUUAAGAUCCUGUCUCCUAGGGGUUCGUGGGUUCAAAUCCCACCUCCUCCA